AUUUAAACCAUCCCUUUGACUGUUUUUGGUCUUCUCUGGGUAAAAAUGCCCCACCUCUGCCACCUUGUCCUGCCCCUCCCCUCAGAUGCUGCAACUGCGGUGUGAGGUGGGGAGAGGGGUCCUGAGUGUGGGUCCUGGGCUUGGUCGGGGUGUGAGGUGGGGAGCGGAACCGUGAGUGUGGGUCCUGGGCUUGGCUGGGGUAUGAGGUGGAGAGUGGGGCCAUGAGCAUGGGUCCUGGACUUGGUUGGGGUGUGAGGUGGGGAGCGGAACCGUGAGCAUGGGCCCUGGGCGUGGCUGAGGUGUGAGGUGGGGAGAGGGGUCCUGAGCGUGGGUCCUGGACUUGGUCGGGGUGUGAGGUGGGGAGCGGGGCCAUGAGCGUGGGUCCUAGACUUGGUUGGGGUAUGAGGUGGGGAGCGGGGCCAUGAGUGUGGGUCCUGGGCUUGGCUGGGGUGUGAGGUGGGGAGCGGGGCCAUGAGUGUGGGUCCUGGGCUUGGCUGGGGUGUGAGGUGGGGAGCUGAACUAUGAGUGUGGGUCCUCCACUGUAGCAGAGAUGUUCUGCAAGCAGAGGAGGAGAGAAAACAAAGUCAAGUGAUCCAGCUCCC
rnacentral:lncRNA from 1 species